rnacentral:rRNA from 1 species
AUGAACGCUAGCUACAGGCUUAACACAUGCAAGUCGAGGGGCAGCAUGGUCUUAGCUUGCUAAGGCCGAUGGCGACCGGCGCACGGGUGAGUAACACGUAUCCAACCUGCCGUCUACUCUUGGACAGCCUUCUGAAAGGAAGAUUAAUACAAGAUGGCAUCAUGAGUCCGCAUGUUCACAUGAUUAAAGGUAUUCCGGUAGACGAUGGGGAUGCGUUCCAUUAGAUAGUAGGCGGGGUAACGGCCCACCUAGUCUUCGAUGGAUAGGGGUUCUGAGAGGAAGGUCCCCCACAUUGGAACUGAGACACGGUCCAAACUCCUACGGGAGGCAGCAGUGAGGAAUAUUGGUCAAUGGGCGAGAGCCUGAACCAGCCAAGUAGCGUGAAGGAUGACUGCCCUAUGGGUUGUAAACUUCUUUUAUAAAGGAAUAAAGUCGGGUAUGGAUACCCGUUUGCAUGUACUUUAUGAAUAAGGAUCGGCUAACUCCGUGCCAGCAGCCGCGGUAAUACGGAGGAUCCGAGCGUUAUCCGGAUUUAUUGGGUUUAAAGGGAGCGUAGAUGGAUGUUUAAGUCAGUUGUGAAAGUUUGCGGCUCAACCGUAAAAUUGCAGUUGAUACUGGAUAUCUUGAGUGCAGUUGAGGCAGGCGGAAUUCGUGGUGUAGCGGUGAAAUGCUUAGAUAUCACGAGGAACUCCGAUUGCGAAGGCAGCCUGCUAAGCUGCAACUGACAUUGAGGCUCGAAAGUGUGGGUAUCAAACAGGAUUAGAUACCCUGGUAGUCCACACGGUAAACGAUGAAUACUCGCUGUUUGCGAUAUACAGCAAGCGGCCAAGCGAAAGCGUUAAGUAUUCCACCUGGGGAGUACGCCGGCAACGGUGAAACUCAAAGGAAUUGACGGGGGCCCGCACAAGCGGAGGAACAUGUGGUUUAAUUCGAUGAUACGCGAGGAACCUUACCCGGGCUUAAAUUGCAGAUGAAUUACGGUGAAAGCCGUAAGCCGCAAGGCAUCUGUGAAGGUGCUGCAUGGUUGUCGUCAGCUCGUGCCGUGAGGUGUCGGCUUAAGUGCCAUAACGAGCGCAACCCUUGUUGUCAGUUACUAACAGGUUCCGCUGAGGACUCUGACAGGACUGCCAUCGUAAGAUGUGAGGAAGGUGGGGAUGACGUCAAAUCAGCACGGCCCUUACGUCCGGGGCUACACACGUGUUACAAUGGGGGGUACAGAGGGCCGCUACCACGCGAGUGGAUGCCAAUCCCCAAAACCUCUCUCAGUUCGGACUGGAGUCUGCAACCCGACUCCACGAAGCUGGAUUCGCUAGUAAUCGCGCAUCAGCCACGGCGCGGUGAAUACGUUCCCGGGCCUUGUACACACCGCCCGUCAAGCCAUGGGAGCCGGGGGUACCUGAAGUGCGUAACCGCGAGGAGCGCCCUAGGGUAAAACUGGUGACUGGGGCU